rnacentral:rRNA from 1 species
UACGAAGGGGGCUAGCGUUGCUCGGAAUUACUGGGCGUAAAGCGCACGUAGGCGGUCUUUUAAGUCGGUGGUGAAAUCCUGGAGCUCAACUCCAGAACUGCCUUCGAUACUGGAAGACUUGAGUCCGGGAGAGGUGAGUGGAACUGCGAGUGUAGAGGUGAAAUUCGUAGAUAUUCGGAAGAACACCAGUGGCGAAGGCGACUUACUGGACACAUAUUGACGCUGAGGUGCGAAAGCGUGGGGAGCAAACAGG